rnacentral:lncRNA from 1 species
AAAAUGAUUUCAUAUACAAACCAAGAGAGGUAUAGAAGAGUUUGAUGGAUCACAUCACAUUCAAUCUUAAUACAAGGGGAGCUUAGCCACUCAUGGUAAUGUGUAGGUCAAUCUUUUCAUACAAGGAGAGAAAAGAAAAGAAAAAUAACAGAGUUGAUCUCUCUGAGCUUCCCAGCUUCGUAACCCCCUCAUUCCUAGUUGGACUCCUCCUUUCUGCAUUCUCAUAGGGAAAAACAUAUAAAAUGCAAUUAACUCUUCUCAACAAAAGAAAUCCAUUUUUCUUACAAGAAUAAGAGUUUUCUUAAGUCUAAUUAUCUUAUAAAAACGAUUUAUAAAACCGGUUUAUGAAAUGAAAUAAGAUUUACGCUCACUUAUAUCCUAUACAAUAUCUUUAGUCGAUGUUUGAUCUCUAUACAGAUUGUUGUACAAUUUCCUGUGCAUCUGACCUGUGAUUGUUGGGUACUGGCCGGAAUAGCACUCGUAAUUGGGUUUCUGGCAAAAUAUUAAUGAAAUACUAUAUAGUGGAAAAAUCAUGAUAAUGAUAGUACAAACUUGCAUUUAUAGAUGGAUUCUGUGGAGUAUCUGUGUCCUCCGGAUGAGUGAAGCAGUACCUACAAUAGUUCAUGAGGGUUGAUCAGCCAAUGAAGCUGCACUCAAGGAUACAAAUGCAUCUCUGGCAUCUCAGACUGCAUGGUAGAAUUGCUUAAUCAGCUAGUAAAAAAGAUUACAAAAAAUCAUUGUAGAAGAAGACAAAGAUGAGAUUGUUUUUCUGUCAAACAGCUUAAAUUCACUCCAACCUCUGCAGUUUAAAUGGGAAUGAACUCAGCUUAAAUCUACCAAGAUGAUUGCAAUUUACAAGCAUUUCACCCACUACUUCAAUAACCCUUUUUCUGAUAUUUCUGGUUUACAUCAAACAAAAACAAUUAAGCUGCAACCAAGGAUCGUUUGAGAAUCUUGAUGAACCAUAUAUGUUGCAAAAAAGUAAAACCCCUUCAAAUUCCAAGUGAAAGCAUAUGAAUACUCUUAAUUUCUAAUUCAUCUAAUUCAUCAUACAGUGAAACCCCUUUAAAACAAAUGCUCAUAAUUGAAAGUAUUGUUAUGAAGGGAAGAGUAAAGAAAAGUACCUUCCUCACGAGAGCAAUUUUUGUCUGCGAAGUUUGCUGCUCAACGGCAAGGAAAGCCCUGAUUCCACAUUUGAAUUUGGAAUUUGGAAGCUUUAAACAAUCA